GAUGAAGAACGCAGCGAAAUGCGAUAAGUAAUGCGAAUUGCAGAAUUCCAGUGAGUCAUCGAAUCUUUGAACGCACAUUGCGCCCUUUGGUAUUCCGAAGGGCAUGCCUGUUCGAGCGUCAUUAUCACCCCUCAAGCCCUCGGCUUGGUGUUGGACGGUUUGGUGGAGGCCCCCUCGGGGGCUCCUGCCCCUCCCAAAGACAAUGACGGCGGCCUCGUUGGACCCCCGGUACACUGUGUUCUUCACGGGACACGUAUCGGACACAUGGGUUUACGGGACACGGUCUGCCUCCCCUCAGGGAGAAUCUUUCUAAGGUUGACCUCGGAUCAGGUAGGGAUACCCGCUGAACUUAAGCAUAUCAAUAAGCGGAGGA
rnacentral:misc_RNA from 1 species